ACGUAGGGGGCGAGCGUUGUCCGGAAUUACUGGGCGUCAAGCGCGUGUAGGCGGGCUGGUAGGCGGCGUGUGAAAGGUGGGGGCUCAACCCUCAUAGGACGCGCCGAACCGCUGGUCUUGGGACGGCGAGGGGCAACUGGAAUGGUCGGAGGAGCGGUGAAAUGCGUAGAGCCCGAUCAGAACACCGGUGGCGAAGGCGGGUUGCUGGAGCCGGGCCGACGCUGAGACGCGAAAGCGCGGGGAGCGAACGGGAUUAGAUACCCCGGUAGUCCGCGCGGUAAACGAUGGACACUGGGCGUGGCGGGUAUCGACCCCUGCCGUGCCGGAGCGAACGUGGGAAGUGUCCCGCCUGGGGAGUACGGUCGCAAGGCUG
rnacentral:rRNA from 1 species